GGAAAAUAGGAAGGGUUGGAGAAACCAGGAAACCCUGGGCCAGAGACAAAGGCGUUUUAUUACGACGAAGGUAACCAUCAGAGGUGCAUCCGAGCACCCCUCAGGUAAUGCAGUGGGAGUGGGCACCUGCAUGGGCAGUGGAGGUAUUGUACAAAUGAUUGUCAUAGAUUUAGGAGGCUGUAGUCUUAGAUAAAGGAUUGCUGGCAAAUAAGCCCAUCCUCCCUUCUUGAUGGAAUCUAUUACAUCCCAAGGAGGUAAGCAUCUAUCUUCAGUGUCUCUGAAUGUUUUAUAAGAGAGUUACUAUCAUCUAAUUUUCCUUUUCAGGCUGUCCGCCGAUGCAGACGUUGAAGACAAGACUGAACUGUGUGGGUCAUUAAUGAGUGAAUGUGCAGGAACGCAGAGAGUCGUGGAGAAGCAUCUCCCAGUACUGUGCAACUACAAGUAGAACCUCUUUUUGUCAGCCUUCAAUUCAACUCAAGGAACCAGGAACCAAGGAGGAAGGAAGUAAUUGACAUUCAAAGCCUCUAUUUUUAGACACCUUUACACUUUCCUUUGCUUCUAACUAGCGAGGAUUUUUCCAAACAAGCUUUUAAUU
rnacentral:lncRNA from 1 species